rnacentral:rRNA from 1 species
CGAGNGGUAGAGAGAGCUUGCUUCUCUUGAGAGCGGCGGACGGGUGAGUAAUGCCUAGGAAUCUGCCUGGUAGUGGGGGAUAACGUUCGGAAACGGACGCUAAUACCGCAUACGUCCUACGGGAGAAAGCAGGGGACCUUCGGGCCUUGCGCUAUCAGAUGAGCCUAGGUCGGAUUAGCUAGUUGGUGAGGUAAUGGCUCACCAAGGCGACGAUCCGUAACUGGUCUGAGAGGAUGAUCAGUCACACUGGAACUGAGACACGGUCCAGACUCCUACGGGAGGCAUCAGUGGGGAAUAUUGGACAAUGGGCGAAAGCCUGAUCCAGCCAUGCCGCGUGUGUGAAGAAGGUCUUCGGAUUGUAAAGCACUUUAAGUUGGGAGGAAGGGUUGUAGAUUAAUACUCUGCAAUUUUGACGUUACCGACAGAAUAAGCACCGGCUAACUCUGUGCCAGCAGCCGCGGUAAUACGGAGGGUGCAAGCGUUAAUCGGAAUUACUGGGCGUAAAGCGCGCGUAGGUGGUUUGUUAAGUUGGAUGUGAAAUCCCCGGGCUCAACCUGGGAACUGCAUUCAAAACUGACUGACUAGAGUAUGGUAGAGGGUGGGUGGAAUUUCCUGUGUA